GCUUUGGUGGGGUAGUGGUAACCUGGGUCGUUGCCACGACUUGUGAAUUCGACCCGCCGGGGGUUCGAUUCCCUCCCAAAGCA